ACUGGUUGUGUAACGUUUUCUAACAAAAUGAUAACACUCCACCCUUAAAACAAAAAGAGGAGGACUGCGUCCCAAAAGCCACCCUAUUCCUUGUAUAGUGUAUUACUUUUGACCAGAGUCUUAUGGGCCCUGGUCAAAAGUAGUGCACUAUAUAGGAGGUAAGGUACCUUUUGGAACACAGUGUAUGUAGAAGUGUAUGUAGAAGAAGAAGAGUCAGCCAGCCUGUCUGUCUAUCGAUAGAGAUAAUCAGCUUGUAUGUCGGCAAAGAUCUCGGCCUCCCACUUGUCAAGCAGUUCCCCUUUGUUGUGGAGCUCCUCAUGGGUCUCUGUAGAAAACUAAAAGAGAGUCAAGCACUGACACCAAACUUGGUUUUCUUUAGGCUUAUUUAGUGAGGAAACUGACACUUUUUACUCUCUAUUCUAUAGGCAUUUUGACUCUUCUAUCAAAAUGCCUGAUAAUGCUUGUAGGAGAUGUCAUGGCAACGUUGGUUAGCUGAGCUUACGUUCAGAAACACGUCAUGGAGUCUAACGGUCGUCUCGCGCCGAACUGUGCAUGUGCAGGCCGUCAAAUCAAAGGAACUCCUUCGAUAUAAAGUUGUUUUGACAAAUGAAAACAUGUUAGUUUGUCACUUUCACAAGGUUGGAGUAAUAACAUGUUCAACUACUGAAGACAUUGGCUCCAAUCAAAGUUGUGCCUUUAGAUUGAGAAAAUGAACAACUAAGGAAUAAUUUUUCACUUCUCUCAUUGGCUUCUCAAAUCGCAAACCCCGCCUGGUCUGCUUUGUCUGUUUCACAAGCAUUCUCAGAAGUCUCAUGAUGUUGCGACUCUGGGUUUAGAAACUCGGUGCUAGUAGGGUUUUCUAAACUGACACUAUUGGCCUUUACAAGUAAACAUUAGCCCUGUUAAGAAAUGCAUCAUAGACCAACGCUCUUACAUAAGACAUGUUGAAAUAUUAGAGUAACUCCCAACUGAAGUGUGGUCCAGCCAACGCUGCUGGCUACAAUAUGCAAACCUCCAAAAUGACCUGCACAAUAACAAAGCUGAAGAGAAGUGAAGAUUCCAUGAUGAAGGUCCUAUCCAUUCUGGCCAUGAUGCUACUCGGGGCGUCUGCCAUGGGCGUCUGCUCAAUGGCCUAAAGUCCACCGAACCUAAGUGGGUCUCUGGGAAGGUCAAGGCCUUUCUCCCAUGUCCUGGCCAUUCUACCUGGUAUAAACUGGGGUCCAAAUGUGUUAAGCACUUCAAAGAAGAAUUGGACUUUGCAUCUGCUGAGGAUUUCUGCCGCUCUCAAAAGGGCAAAUCUCAUCUGAUAUCAAUCCACUCUGCCCAGGAGAAUGAGGAUGUGGAUGUUUUUGCUCAGACGUUCAGCAGAAAUUCCCCUCGCAUCUGGCUUGGCGGUUUUACAGUAUCCGACCCCCUUCAGCCUCACCGCUACCUCUGGACUGAUGGGUCCCCCAUGGACUACUAUUCCUGGCUUCAGAACCCCAGUCAGCCAUCCGAUGACGGACAGUGCAUGGAAAUGAACUGGCAGCUCAAAGGGGAAUGGAAUGAUAAGCCGUGCAGCCAAACCAAUUACUUUCUGUGUGCCUUCAUAUCUGGUGAAAGAGAGGAAACGAAUGGAGGAGAAGAAGAGGGGACGGUGGAAAAAGGGAGUGGGAGGUUUAUCAUUUAAAGUAGAUGACAGAUGAGCAGUAUAGCAGUAUAUACUACCUGUCAGAUACGCUUUGCAUUACAGCUUUCUCAGACAUCACGACACCAGGACCCUGUAAAAUGUUAGAGAAAACCCACUGCUCAAAGACUAAGCCUUUGUCAGCUAAAAGUUCUCACCAUCACAGUCAGUUUCAGUCCGCCCAAAGUAAGAUUUAAUGAAACAACUGAUUGUAUUACAAACUUCUAAACACAUUGCAUUUGAGAAUUCUAUCUAGGCCUAUUGUCAGAAAAUAGUGUAACCUAAUCUAUUUCAGGGGAAUGGUGUUGAUAAAAUACUGCUUCACUUGUUUGUACUAUGAAACACUGUGCAUUGCUUGACUAGCAAAAAUAAAAAAGGAAUAGAAAAAUAUCUUCAUUAAAAUAAUCA